UACGUAGGUGGCAAGCGUUGUCCGGAUUUACUGGGCGUAAAGAGCGCGCAGGCGGUCGUUCAAGUCGCGUGUGAAAGCCCCCGGCUCAACUGGGGAGGGUCACGCGAUACUGAUCGACUCGAAGGCAGGAGAGGGAAGUGGAAUUCCCGGUGUAGUGGUGAAAUGCGUAGAUAUCGGGAGGAACACCAGUGGCGAAGGCGGCCAGCUGGGAUACACCUGACGCUGAGACACGAAGGCGUGGGGAGCGAACGGG
rnacentral:rRNA from 1 species